GACGAACGCUGGCGGCGUGCUUAACACAUGCAAGUCGAACGGAAAGGCCCCUUUGGGGGUACUCGAGUGGCGAACGGGUGAGUAACACGUGAGUAACCUGCCCUUGACUUCGGGAUAACUUCAGGAAACUGGGGCUAAUACCGGAUAGGAAUCCUUGCUGCAUGGUGGGGGUUGGAAAGCUUCGGCGGUUUUGGAUGGACUCGCGGCUUAUCAGCUUGUUGGUGGGGUAGUGGCUUACCAAGGCUUUGACGGGUAGCCGGCCUGAGAGGGCGACCGGCCACAUUGGGACUGAGAUACGGCCCAGACUCCUACGGGAGGCAGCAGUGGGGAAUAUUGCACAAUGGGCGGAAGCCUGAUGCAGCAACGCCGCGUGCGGGAUGACGGCCUUCGGGUUGUAAACCGCUUUCAGCAGGGGCGAAGCCUUUGUGACGGUACCUGCAGAAGAAGCACCGGCUAACUACGUG
rnacentral:rRNA from 1 species